rnacentral:rRNA from 1 species
UACGAAGGACCCGAGCGUUAUCCGGAUUUAUUGGGUUUAAAGGGUGCGUAGGCGGAUUUACAAGUCAGUGGUGAAAUCCCUCAGCUCAACUGAGGAACUGCCAUUGAAACUGUUUAUCUUGAGUACAUUUGAGGCGGGCGGAAUGUGUCAUGUAGAGGUGAAAUUCUUAGAUAUGACACAGAACACCGAUGGCGAAGGCAGCCUCCUGGGCCAACACUGACGCUCAUGCACGAAAGCGUGGGGAGCAAACAGG